rnacentral:tRNA from 1 species
GCCUGGGUGGCUCAGUCGGUUGAGCGUCCGACUUCGGCUCAGGUCAUGAUCUCACGGUCCGUGAGUUCGAGCCCCGCAUCGGGCU